rnacentral:sRNA from 1 species
AUAACGGGCUUUGUUGGCAGUCUGUAACCUCCGAAGGAGGUUUGAGCCGAACGUAGCGAGACCACGUUGCUUUAGCAACGGCCCGCAGGGCAAGCAUCGAAGAUGCGCGUAAUCCUCUCUCGCCGACCA